GACGAACGCUGGCGGCGUGCUUAACACAUGCAAGUCGAACGAGACGAAUUAGAAGCUUGCUUUUAACGAGUCGAGUGGCAAACGGGUGAGUAACGCGUAGACAACCUGCCUCAUACAGGGGGAUAACAGCCGGAAACGGCUGCUAAUACCGCAUAAGCGCACGGUACCGCAUGGUACAGUGUGAAAAACUCCGGUGGUAUGGGAUGGAUCCGCGUCUGAUUAGCCAGUUGCGGGGUAACGGCCCACCAAAGCGACGAUCAGUAGCCGACCUGAGAGGGUGACCGGCCACAUUGGGACUGAGACACGGCCCAAACUCCUACGGGAGGCAGCAGUGGGGAAUAUUGCACAAUGGGGGAAACCCUGAUGCAGCGACGCCGCGUGAGCGAAGAAGUAUUUCGGUAUGUAAAGCUCUAUCAGCAGGGAAGAAGAAAUGACGGUACCUGACUAAGAAGCCCCGGCUAACUACGUG
rnacentral:rRNA from 1 species